rnacentral:rRNA from 14 species
UAAGGUAGCGAAAUUCCUUGUCGGGUAAGUUCCGACCUGCACGAAUGGCGUAACGACUUCCCCACUGUCUCCAGGAUAUGCUCAGCGAAAUUGAAUUCUCCGUGAAGAUGCGGAGUACCCGCGGUUAGACGGAAAGACCCCGUGCACCUUUACUGCAACUUCAGAGUGGCAUUAGGAAAGAAUUGUGUAGAAUAGGUGGGAGGCUUUGAAACUUGGGCGCCAGUCCGAGUGGAGCCAUAAUGUGAAAUACCACCCUAUUGUUUUCUGGUGUCUAACCUAGAUCCGUUAUCCGGAUCAGGGACCCUCUGUGGUGGGUAGUUUGACUGGGGCGGUCGCCUCCUAAAGAGUAACGGAGGCGCGCGAUGGUAGGCUCAGGACGGUUGGAAACCGUCUGCGAGAGUGCAAUGGCAUAAGCCUGCCUGACUGCGAGACUGACGAGUCGAGCAGAGACGAAAGUCGGUCAUAGUGAUCCGGUGGUCCCUCGUGGAAGGGCCAUCGCUCAACGGAUAAAAGGUACUCUGGGGAUAACAGGCUGAUACCGCCCAAGAGUUCAUAUCGACGGCGGUGUUUGGCACCUCGAUGUCGGCUCAUCUCAUCCUGGGGCUGUAGCCGGUCCCAAGGGUAUGGCUGUUCGCCAUUUAAAGUGGUACGUGAGCUGGGUUUAGAACGUCGUGAGACAGUUCGGUCCCUAUCUGCCGUGGGUGUAGGAUACUUGAGAGGAGUUGCCCCUAGUACGAGAGGACCGGGGUGGACGAACCUCUAGUGUACCUGUUGUGACGCCAGUUGCAUCGCAGGGUAGCUACGUUCGGA